rnacentral:rRNA from 1 species
ACUUUAACUGCACGAAAGUGUGAUAAGGGGACUCUGAGUGCUUAUCUUACGAUAGGCUUUUGCCAAAAUUAAAACCUUUGGCGAAUAAGUGGUGGGAAAGACGGGUGCCAGCCGCCGCGGUAACACCUGCGCCACAAGUGGGAAUCAUCAUUAUUGGGCCUAAAGCGUCCGUAGCCUAUCUAUUAAAUCUUCUGUGAAAUUGUUGUGCCUAACAUAACAACGUGCAGAAGAGACUGAUAGAAUUGGAACCGGAAGGAGUCAGAAGUAUGUCUGGGGGAGCGGUAAAAUGCUAUAAUCCUAGAUAGACUACCUGUGGCGAAAGCGUCUGACUAGUACAGAUUCGACGGUGAGGGACGAAAGCCAGGGGAGCAAUCCGGAUUAGAUACGAGAAAUCAUCCUGAUUUCUGGAGUUAGCUCGGUAAGAAUUGUUUAUUCUACUGAAGCCGUGUGAUACACCAGAAGUUGUCAAAUGUUGAUUACCUCGCUAAUUACCCGAGUAGUCCUGGCCAUAAACGCUGCGAGCUAGGUGUUGCGUAUUCUUCGUGGAUGCGCAGUGUCGUAAUGAAGAUGUUAAGCUCGCCGCCUGGGAAGUAUAGUCGCAAGACCGAAACUUAAAGGAAUUGGCGGGGGAGCACAAGCCGAAUUCC